AGAAGUCGUACAGGUCUCCGUAGGUGAACCUGCGGAGGGAUCCAUAGCAUUCGUAAACAAUCAUGUCGGUCAAAAAAAAAAGCGAGGGGGGACGCCCUCUCCACCGACCCUCCUUGGCUAGGGCUGGCCGUCCGAGAGGCGCCAGACCCAGGCCUCACUGCCACGGUACCGCGGUGCCCUGCAACCCCCGGGAGAACGUUGUCCCACUUGGGGCGCGCAGGACCCAUGCACCCGGUACGGGCUUACGGCUGGACGGACCCCACCCAAGCGGGUGGCUCGGCCGUCCAGCCGGAAGCUGGGGCCUCCAACCAAGCAGCCAUUCGGUGGUGGUCCAUUCGUGGCCCACCAAUGGGUGGCUGUGGAGCCCCGCCGCCGCUAUACUACAUUCAUAACAAUCGUCCUCAGAAUCAACCUGUGUGUGUGCCUUGAGCGUCUAGCACGCCAAGCAAGCUAACUGAAAGUAACACUGUACAAUGGAUUUCUUGGCUCCCACAUCGAUGAAGAACGCAGCAAAGCGCGAUAGGUAGUGUGAAUUGCAGAAUUCCGUGAAUCAUCGAAUUUUUGAACGCACAUUGCGCUCAAGUCUUCGGGCUUGAGCAUGUCUGCCUCAGCGUCGUUUAAAAUGGCUUGCCGUCCGUGACCCUUGCCACUCCUGAAGGAGGGCAUGGGUUUAAGCCGUGACCUCCGGCACGUCCGUCCAUCCGUGGGCGGCGUGCGGCAGCAGCCUUUCCGGCACUGCUCAUCGUAAGCAUGCUGCAUCGCGUGGCAUAUAUGCUCUACCAUGGGCCCUGCUGGUUAGUUGGAUGCGGCGGCUUGUAUGUGCUCUCCAACAACACACGCCUUGCGGGGUGCGUGCUGUUUGGGGGUGCGCAAGCUGCUGCUGCAGCUGGACACCUGGCUGCGCAACACACCAUUCGACCUGAGUUUAGGCAGGGUACCCGCUGAACUAAGCUCAAG
rnacentral:rRNA from 1 species